UAAAUGAAUUAUUGAAGAAAAAACUAAAAAAGAAAAUAUAAUGUAACAAAAGCCAAGAGAACUAAAGCAAAGAGCAGAUUGUCUCCAUCUUCAUCUUAGCUGUGUAAAUUUGGAGAAGAUCGGUUAUUGCAAUCCAUGACUGCAAAUCUCACUCCUAAGAUAAGAACUUUUUGAAUCUCAUUUCGAACCAGAAAAUCUCCAACAUCAACAUUCAAAAUAAUUUUGGAGAGCUGAUGGUUUGCACUUUUUCGAAUCUUCCAGAUCUUUAUCCGUCCUAAACUAGGAGAAUCUCCCAGAUCUUUAUCCGUCCUAAUCUUGGAGAGCUGAUGAAUUGUAAAUUUGCUGCAUCAGAUUGGAAAUUGCAUGUCUCCAUCGACCCAUCGCUACAGUUUCAUAGUUCAUCACAUUGGCACAUCUAAAUUGGAGAGCUACAAAUCGCUAUAUAUGAUGAGAUAUACAAAUCGCCUAAAGUGGAGAGUUACAGAUGAAGGAAGAAUUCACAUCAGCUGUAAAUCACCUAAAUUUGCAACUCAAGCUCUAUCAGAUGCAUCAAUUUCUGCUAAAAAGACCCAUAUUGGUGUGAAAAGAAGUUUACAAGUAAAAUGAGUUCAAAUCGUCAAUGGAUGUACAAAAGAGUAACAAAAAGUCUGUAUGAUCCUGAAUUCCUAAGAGCUGUACAACAAUUUAUUGAGUUCGCUAUGAGUCAUCCAGAAGGAAGGGAUGGUGAGAGACUAAGGUGCCCAUGUAACCGAAAGAAAUGUCAGAAUAGAAACUUUGAAAAUGUUCAUAUUGUCCAUGGGCAUUUAUUAAAAGAAGGUUUUUUACCGGGAUAUCAUGUAUGGUAUUUGUAUGGAGAGAGUGAAGUUGCAGAAACUAUAGAUCAAAAUGAAAGAAUGCACAACUGGAAACAUACUAUGAAUAACCUGCUGGUUGAUGUUAGUGAAUUUGAUGAUCCUGGACCUAGCACGUCUUAUCAUAGAAUGGUUCAUGAGGUUGCUGGUCCCGCAUUUGUUCCAGAUGAUAUGGAGGAAUUACCUAAUCCUGAUGCCUAACAUUUUAAUGAUAUGAUUGAUUCUGCAAAUCAAGAAGUGUGGCCUGGUUGUGAAACACACUCAAAAUUAUCAGUUGUUGCUCGUUUGUUGCAUAUAAAGGUUGAACAUCACCUCUCUGUAAGAUGAUCUGAUGAUAUUUAUCAAUAUGUGAAUGAGAUGAUUCCUCCUGAUAAUGUGAUGCCAAAAAAUUUCUAUGAAACUAAAAAGUUAAUGAGGGGAAUGAACAUGCCUGUUGAAAAAAUUCAUUCUUGUGUCAAUGCAUGCAUGAUUUACUGGGGAGAGGAUAGUGAACUUGUGAAUUGCAAGUUUUGUAGUCAUCCCAGGUAUAAGCCUACAAGUCAAAGAUCUAUUCAGAAGAAAAAUCGUGUACCAUUCAAACAGAUGUAUUACUUUCCUCUUACUCAACGACUGCAACGAAUGUAUGCUUCCACAGCAACUGCUUCACACAUGCGAUGGCACGCUGAACAUGAACUUGAGGAAGGUGUGAUGCGUCACUGUUCAGAUGCACCUGCAUGGAAGCACUUUGAUAAGAUGCAUCCAUCUUUUUUAGAGGAAAGUCGUAAUGUUAGAUUGGGACUGUCCAGCGAUGGGUUUCAGCCAUUUGGUCAAACAGGAAAGCAAUUUUCAUCUUGGCCAAUAAUUGUGACACCAUACAACUUGCCUCCUUGGAUGUGUAUGAAAGAUCCAUAUUUAUUUUUAUCUGUUAUAGUUCUUGGACCAAAGAAUCCUAAGCAGCAACUAGAUGUUUUCUUGCAGCCUUUGAUUUCUGAGUUGAAGAACCUAUGGAAUAUAGGUGUCAACACAUAUGAUAUCUCUAAGAAGAAAAAUUUUCAAAUGCGAGCUGCACUGAUGUGGACAAUCAGUGACUUUCCUACAUAUUCAAUGUAGUCUGGAUGGAGUACUGCAGGCAGGCUAGCCUGUCCAUACUAUAUGGAGAAUUUUGAUGCUUUUACUUUGACAAAGAGUGGCAAGCAGUCCUGGUUUGACAACCACUGUAAGUUUCUGCCGCUGAAUCAUCCAUACAGAAAGGAUAAGAACUCAUUUAGAAAGAACAGGGUAUUAACCAUGCCGCCUACCCUAUUACGGUCAGGGGAAGAUGUCUUAAAAGAGAUAGAAGAACUAGGACUUAAAAAGGUAACAGAACUUGGGGAUGAUAUUAUUAAUCGUCAGAUUGAUAAGUUUUCUAGUUGGAAGAAGAGAGCACAUUAUGGGAUUUGGCAUAUUGGAGUACCAAUCUUUUUCGGCAUAAUCUAGAUGUAAUGCACAUUGAGAACUUCUUUGAUAAUGUGUUCAACACAGUGCUGGAGGUAGAUGGUAAAACAAAAGAUAAUCCCAAAUCAAGAGAAGACUUGAAAUAGUUCUGUCGACGCCCUAAAUUACUAGUUGUUGAUGGAAAGUACCCGAAAGCUAUUUACACACUGAAAGAAGAGUCAAAAAAAUUGUUGUGUGAAUGGAUGAAAAGUCUAAAAUUUCCUGAUGGAUAUGUCUCAAAUAUGGGAAGGUGUGUGGACAUGAAAAAACACAAGUUAUUCGGUAUGAAAAGUCACGAUUGUCAUGUAUUCAUGCAAAAAUUGGUACCUGUUGCAUUCCGUGAGUUAUUACCCAAAAAAGUGUGGGAAGUAUUUACAGAGAUGAGCCUUUUUUUAGGGAUAUCACUUCUAUAGUAAUUCGUGAAGAGGAUAUGGUAAGACUACAACAAGAAAUACCUGAAAUACUUUGUAAAUUAGAGCGAAUAUUCCCUCCUAGCUUCUUUGACUCAAUGGAGCAUCUCCUUGUGCAUCUCGCUUACGAAGCAAUGAUAGAUGGUCCGGUACAAUAUCGAUGGAUAUAUCCAUUUGAGAGAUUCAGGUUCUCAGCAUCCAGAUCACGCAUAGAUCGAUUCCCAAUCUCUAGUUCAGCGGAUUCAGUGGCCCGUGUCCACAUAGAUAAUCAGUUCAUCAAAGCGCUUGCAGAAGGUCCAUGUCGAUCAGCGAAGCAGUACACUGGUUAUAAUGUCAACGGCUUUAAAUUUCAGAGUGAAGGACACAGUUUGUCUAGAUCAUCUAAUAACAGUGGAGUUUGCAUAAAAGGAACAAAUUAUAGUGCAGAUGAGAAUUACUUCAAUGGUGUGCUUACUGAAAUUCUUGAAAUGGAGUACAAGGGCAGUACACCAAUCAAAAGAACUGUUUUAUUUAAAUAUGAUUGGUUUGACCCUACACCAAACGUAGGAAUGAAGAUUCACCGACAAUAUAAACUUGUGGAUAUCAAUCAUAGAAGAAAAUUGAGGAAGUAUGAAUCAUUUGUUUUGGCAAUGCAAGCGUCUCAAGUGUAUUAUGCUAUUUAUCCUAGCUUACGACGUGAUAAGAAUGAUUGGUGGGUUGUGUGCAAAACAAAAGCUCGGUGUAUUGUGGAUAUGCCUCCAUCAUCUUUGGUGUCCCCUCCAGUAGAUGUUUUAGAGCCUUUCCAAUGUGAUGAAGAUGGUUUAAAAUUUGAUGUGGUGGCUGAUAGUGAAACUAUUAUCCGGAAUGAUCCAAACGGAAACUUAAGAGACGAGGAUGAUAAUUUAGAUGAUGAAACAGAGUUUCAUGAUGAAUUAGAAUCAGAAUCAGAUGAUGAAUGAGAAUGAAGAGGUGUACUAUGAAAGUGGCAGUGAAUAGAGUCAAAAUUCUCCAAUCUCUUCAAAUAUAGGAGUUAGAGUUACUAAAAUAUAUGGCACCUAGGGGGGUGGACGUAGUAGAUAUUCUGGAAAAGGAUAGCAGAUCCAGUGGAAUAUCCUCCAAUGUCGAUCUUUGCACGUGAUCAAGCACCACCAUUGCCUGAACUACCAAUACCAGUUACGCCAGAUUCAGUUGUAGUCAACAUAUGGGGACCAUCUUCAUCUGUGGGGAUCGAAAUACCAAGGAAUGACAUUGUAUCCACAACUUCGUCAAAUACAACUAAUGGUACCCACAUCCCAAUUGAAAUCGUCAUGGGACGUUAGGAGCCAAGUAACAAUGUAUCUCGGGCGAUCACAAAAAUCUUUAAGGAAAAAUUGGAUCCUGAAGGACAUGAUUGGUAGUCAAUUACUGCAGAGAUUAAGGACUUCUACUGGGAGGAGUUUAAGAAGCGAUUCCAUUGGAAUAUUACAAUUGAAGGUUCCAUAAAGGAUAAUUUUAUGCAAACAAGUUCAAUACAAUACAAGGGUGUGUUAUGUGAAGCAAGAUCCUAUGAGGAGAACCGAAAUAAUAUUCCAAAAUCUAUUUGGGAGAGAUGGAAACCUCACUAUGAUACUGAGCAUUUUAAGGCUAAAUAUGCACAAUGUUCCAAAAAUAGACUAAGUGAGAAAUGUGGUGAAGGAUCUGGUCCCUCGCGCCAUACUGGAGGCUCCGGGACUCACCGAGAGCAUGCAAGACAAUUGUUUUAGGCGAAUGUUCUUGGACGACCACCUUAUCCUCAUGAACUUUUGAAGAAGACACAUACCAAAGGAAACGAUGAGUUUUUUGAUCUGAAGUCAAAGAGAACAUAUGAUGCUGUAAUGUCUAAGAUCACAUCUGCAUCACAACUUGAAGAUGAAUCUGGUGACUCUGGGACAGUAGUUUUCAAAGAUUUACAUGGAUGAAGUGGGUGGGGUUAAGAAAGCGUGCAUAUAUGGUCUUUGUUCUCAAGCAGUAUUCUAUGAGAACAUUGGUUCAUCGUCUGCUUCAACUACUCAACCUCAAGAUUGUAGUUUUGAUGCUCGAGUGAAGGAAUAUGUUCAUGAAAUGAAGGAGGCAAUGAAGCAUGAGAUGAGAGAAGAGAUACAACAUGAAUUGCGUGAAGAAAUGAAACAUAAAAUGCAGCUAGAAAUGCAAGAGCAAGUUGAUAAGAUUCUCCAAGCACGUUUGCCGACCCUCAUAGCUGGGCUGCCUAAACCAGCCCCUAGUACACUUCCCACUGGUACACCUCCAAUUGGUACACCACCUUAGCUUAGACAUGACCCAUUAUCAAAUAAUGAUAUAAGUCAUUUUAUUUUUUCAAACUAUGCCAAGUAGAUUUUGCAUUGUUUGUUUCGUAUUUGGAUUUAUUUUGAACUAUUCAUCUUAGAUUUUGUAUUGUUUUUCCCUUAUUUGGAUUCAUUUUGAACUCUUCAUCUUAGGUUUUGCAUUG